ACAUAUUCCGUUAAUUAUGAAUUUUAAUUGCGUUGUUUGUAACAAACUGAGACGAGUUAAUAAAUAGCUCGCUUUAGUGUCUAUCUAAUAUCAAUCUGACAAUUGAUACUAUUUGAGAUUCACAAGAUGAAAGUAGUAAUCUCUCUACUCCAACUCACCAAUUUACAAUUCAGUGUUUCAUUCAUAUCUUUAUUAUUACAAGUAUAUUGAAGGA
rnacentral:lncRNA from 1 species